CCCCUCUCAGGAUCACACCUGGAGAGUUUCCCGGACUCUACCAGUCUCGACUACCGUGGGGAGAGUCAACCAGAGGCCUACCCAUUCCAUUCCUAGCUUGGGCAGUGGCUAGCGAGUGGAAGGCAAUCUGUCACAAGU